rnacentral:rRNA from 1 species
GGCUCCCGCUAUUGGAUGAGCCUAUGUCGGAUUAGCUAGUUGGUGAGGUAAAGGCUCACCAAGGCGACGAUCCGUAGCUGGUCUGAGAGGAUGAUCAGCCACAUCGGGACUGAGACACGGCCCGAACUCCUACGGGAGGCAGCAGUGGGGAAUAUUGGACAAUGGGGGCAACCCUGAUCCAGCCAUGCCGCGUGUGUGAAGAAGGCCCUCGGGUUGUAAAGCACUUUCAGCGAGGAAGAACGCCUAUUGGUUAAUACCCAUUAGGAAAGACAUCACUCGCAGAAGAAGCACCGGCUAACUCCGUGCCAGCAGCCGCGGUAAUACGGAGGGUGCAAGCGUUAAUCGGAAUUACUGGGCGUAAAGCGCGCGUAGGUGGCUUGAUAAGCCGGUUGUGAAAGCCCCGGGCUCAACCUGGGAACGGCAUCCGGAACUGUCAGGCUAGAGUGCAGGAGAGGAAGGUAGAAUUCCCGGUGUAGCGGUGAAAUGCGUAGAGAUCGGGAGGAAUACCAGUGGCGAAGGCGGCCUUCUGGACUGACACUGACACUGAGGUGCGAAAGCGUGGGUAGCAAACAGGAUUAGAUACCCUGGUAGUCCACGCCGUAAACGAUGUCGACCAGCCGUUGGGUGCCUAGAGCACUUUGUGGCGAAGUUAACGCGAUAAGUCGACCGCCUGGGGAGUACGGCCGCAAGGUUAAAACUCAAAUGAAUUGACGGGGGCCCGCACAAGCGGUGGAGCAUGUGGUUUAAUUCGAUGCAACGCGAAGAACCUUACCUACCCUUGACAUCCAGCGAACUUGCAAGAGAUGGAUUGGUGCCUUCGGGAACUCUGAGACAGGUGCUGCAUGGCUGUCGUCAGCUCGUGUUGUGAAAUGUUGGGUUAAGUCCCGUAACGAGCGCAACCCUUGUCCUUAUUUGCCAGCGCGUAAUGUCGGGAACUCUAAGGAGACUGCCGGUGACAAACCGGAGGAAGGUGGGGACAACGUCAAGUCAUCAUGGCCCUUACGGGUAGGGCUACACACGUGCUACAAUGGCCGGUACAAAGGGCUGCGAGCUCGCAAGAGUCAGCUAAUCCCUAAAAGCCGGUCUCAGUCCGGAUCGAAGUCUGCAACUCGACUCCUUGAAGUCGGAAUCGCUAGUAAUCGUGAAUCAAAUUGUCACGGUGAAUACGUUCCCGGGCCUUGUACACACCGCCCGUCACACCAUGGAAGUGGACUGCACCAGAAGUGGUUAGCUUAACCU